UCUUACCCCAUCUGCCCAGCACUCACGGGACUCAGGAAGCCCCAGAACUGCUCAUACCUGUGGUUGAUCAGGAAACUCUCUAAGCCACCACUUCUUCUAAAUCCUGAACCAGCUCCGCCCUCCUAUCACUCGCCUGCCCAGUCCUGCUCACGGGGACCUCACUUCUUACCUUGUCCCUGGGGAGCCAGCCUGGCCCGCGGGAUGUCACUGCUGGAGGCCGUCAUCUUCUCGUCUCUCUGGGCCUUUGGCCUUGGGCAGGGGAAACUGGAACAACCUGAAAUAUCAAUUUCCAGAGCAAGGGGGAAGAGUGCACACGUAUCGUGCAAGAUGUCCACUGAGGUCAUCGACACAGCCAUACACUGGUACCGGCAGAAGCCAGAUCAGGAGAUAGAACAUCUAACGUUCGUCUCAACACACCCCGUUCGAGUUUCUUUAGGAGGGAAGAGCGACAAACUUGAGGCAAGUAAAAACGCUCACACUUCCACUGCAACUUUGAAAAUAAAUUUCUUAGAGCAAGAAGAUGAGGCCGUGUACUUCUGUGCCUGCUGGGACCGGAGCCACAGCACCAGAGUUGCCAGGAGAAGCUGCGCAAGAACCGUGCUCGGGUCUGGGUCCACCCACAUCCUUCUCCACGUGGGCAACCACAGAGGCCGCACAGCCCGGUGCCCAGCCGGAGCCUCUCCCUCUGCAGUAGUUCCUGACCUUUGCAGGAAGACAUUGUAGA